rnacentral:rRNA from 1 species
GAACGGCAUAGUAACACGUGGGUACAUACCCCAAAGUGGAGGACAGCUCGUCGAAAGACGGGGUAAUACUCCAUAGCCUCGCAAGAGUAAAGUCUCACGACGCUUUGGGAAUGGCCUGCGGCCUAUCAGGUAGUUGGCGGUGUAAUAGACCACCAAGCCUAUGACGGGUAGGGGGCGUGAGAGCGCGACCCCCAUGAAUGGCACUGCGACACGGGCCAUACUCCUACGGGAGGCUGCAGUCGAGAAUCUUCCGCAAUGGACGAAAGUCUGACGGAGCGACGUUACGUGAAUGAUGAAGCCCUUCGGGGUGUAAAGUUCUUUUUUCUGGGAAGAAGUUAUUGACUGUACCAGAAGAAUAAGGAGAUCCUAAUUCUGUGUACGUGUACGUG